rnacentral:lncRNA from 1 species
AAGCUACUGUAUNAAACCUGCUGCACACCCAACAAUAUAAUAUCUAUUUUUUGCACUAUGGCAUUGUUGGAAAUCUUUAGAUAACAUGGUAUUGCGUGUAGAGGCUGACACACCGAGAAGGUUGAAAACAAAAGAACAAACCUUUCUUUCUCUCUCUUUCUCUCUCUCUUUCUCUCCAUUGUUCAUUUUCUCUCACUUGAAACAUGCACAGGCAACUCUGAAACUUCUAACUCCAAUUUAGGAACACUCUUGGAUGAUGAUAUUAUAGCAUAUCUCUAGAAAGUUGAUUCUUCUCUCUCUCUCUCUAAAACCCUAUUUAAAGAUAACCAUAGACCUCUUCUUUCUCCCAUGCAUUACUUGUCUUGAUUUCAUUCUCGAUCCCCAACAUCACAGGCUAUUCUACACACUCUCCCUCCAUUCUUUUUUUACUACUUAAUUUACUUCUCCCAUCUCUAUAACCAUUUUCAAAUUCUCAACCGCCACUAGCUUUCUUUCAUAACUGAUUGCUAUUCCAACUCAUUAAAAACAUAUUGGUGGUUAUAGGAUUCUCAAAUUAGACCUAAAAGUUCUUCUUUUAUUUUAUAUAUUAUAUAGGAUGUCUAGCAGAAGGUCACGGUCAAGGCAAACAGGUACUUCAAGGAAUAUCACCGAUGAUCAGAUCAACGAUCUUGUCUCCAAGUUGCAACAGCUUCUUCCAGAGAUACGUGAGAGACACUCUGACAAGGUUCAUCUUAUAUACAUUUCCCUUUUUUUUCUGUGUUCUAUAAGACUCUUCUUCCUCUUUCUAUGUUUAACUCCACAUUCACAUACAUGUACUUUUUCUUUAAUUAAGUUCUACAAGUUAAUUAGUUAACCAUGAUGUUGAUUUAAUUGCUGUAGCUUUCAGGAAUCAUGCUCCAAUUGAGUGAACCAUGAUUUUCAUUAUGGACUGAUUUUGUCAUUUUGAUAAACAUAAUAUUUUACCUAGAUAUUCUUAAUUAGGAUAAACAACAUAGUGAGAUAAUUAUCAAGUUGAAUAUGUUUUCAUGGAACUUUUCAAAUUGUUCUUUCUUCAAAUUUAAUCUACAUUUUGAUAAUUUUGAAUCACAUCUGCUUAAGGUCAGCAUUUGAAAGUUCUUAUCUGUCUUAAAUGGAUGAAAAAUUGUUGCAAGUAUCGUGAUAAUUAGUAAUAAUUAGUAAUAAGACCAGUUUAAAAGUAUAUAAAUAAGUGUAAAUAUCAUCUUAAUAUUCAAAGUUCUUAUGUCUUAAAUGGAUGAAAAAUAAAACGAAAAACAAAUCUAACAUAAAAUGUUAUGAUCCUGCAUAUAAAAUAUAUGUUAUGAAAUUUAAUAUAUAUAUAUAUAUAUAUAUAUAUAUAUAUAUAUAUAUAUAUAUAUAUAAUAGAACUGUUUUGAUAAAAUGGAAAUUUUGAAUGCAUUCAGGUUUCAGCUUCGAAGGUGUUGCAAGAGACAUGCAACUAUAUUAGAAGCUUACACAGGGAAGUGGACGACCUAAGCGAGCGUUUGUCUGAACUCUUGGCUACAACUGACACUGCACAAGCUGCAAUAAUUAGAAAUUUACUUAUGCAAUAGAUCACUAGUAGUUUAUGCCAUAAUUCAUAGUUAGCACUUCACUGCUUCUGAGCGGAUCCAGUAGUCGUGUAUUUCUUGUUCCCUUUUCUGUUUAUCUCUUUUUUGCUAUGGUUUUUGUUCACUAAUAUGCAUGAUUACUUCUUCUGCAAAGCUCCAUUUCUUUAGAUAUUAAAUAAAAGUUUCAGAGUUAGUGCUUUGCUA